UACGUAGGGGGGCAAGCGUUGUCCGGAAUUAUUGGGCGUAAAGCGCGCGCAGGUGGUGGAUUAAGUUGUGGGUAAAAGGCAAUGGCUCAACCAUUGUAAGCCUGCAAAACUGGUUCACUUGAGUGCAGGAGAGGGGAGUGGAAUUCCCGGUGUAGCGGUGGAAUGCGUAGAGAUCGGGAGGAACACCAGUGGCGAAGGCGAGUCCCUGGACACUUCCUGACACUGAGGCACGAAAGCUAGGGGAGCAAACAGG
rnacentral:rRNA from 1 species